CAGUAGCCGCGGGAAUACGAAGGGUGCAAGCGUUACUCUGAAUUACUGGGCGUAAAGCGUGCGUAGGUGGUGGUUUAAGUCCGUUGUGAAAGCCCUGGGCUCAACCUGGGAAUUGCAGUGGAUACUGGGUCACUAGAGUGUGGUAGAGGAUAGUGGAAUUUCCGGUGUAGCAGUGAAAUGCGUAGAGAUCGGAAGGAACAUCUGUGGCGAAGGCGACUAUCUGGGCCAACACUGACACUGAGGCACGAAAGCGUGGGGAGCAAACAGGAUUAGAUACCCCUGUAGUCCCUGUCUCUUAUAC
rnacentral:rRNA from 1 species